rnacentral:lncRNA from 1 species
UUUGCAUGAGCUCGUAGCUUCCUUCUGCUGUCACUCCGUGUGCAAUUCCUUCUACUGUCGAAGGAGAGGACUGUAGGUUCCUUCGCCAUCGAAGGACGCCCUCUGGAGCUUCUGCCACUACCGCUGUAGUUCGCAGCGCUGCUGCGACUGUCUUAAACUAAUCCUUCGCCGCUGUUGCUGCCAGCUUCUCAUGACUGCCUUCUCACCGCUGCUAUUGCCACUUUCCACUGUCGGUGACCCUUUAUCCCCCUCUGUUAUUGUUAAUAGUUCUUUUCUCCCCCUCUAACUACUAUUAACAGUAGAUUUUUAAUUUAAUAUCAUAUUUUUAUUCAAAUAAUCAUAUUUAUCAAUUAUGUUAUAUAUUUUUAUAUUUUUAUAUUUCAAAGCGCUUCACUUUGUUCGGGCUUUUGCCUAGUGCCUCGGCCGUUUUGGGGCCUUGACACCUUUUGGCGCUUAGCGCUUUUUAAAUCACUAGUUAUAAGUCAUCUCUUAUUGAUACUUAGAGCUGCUUUGGUAGGCAGCUUUUGGUUGAUAAAUAAAAAAAAAGAUUGCCAUGUUGGAACAUACCUUUUGAAACGAUCUAAGCAAAAUACCAUGGCACCUUCAUUUUUAUUUUAGGUAAUGGGCACAAUGUGGCACCUGGUUAUGUAGGCUUGUUGAAAAAGAAAUGGCCAAUAUGUAAAAUCAUUUGUAUCUGAUAAUACACUAUUAUAAAUAGGUAAAAUGACAUAAAUUCUCAAGUAUUCCAAUUAAUGGGCAUCAAUUAAUAACAUGUCAGUCAAUCAUAGUUCACAUAUAAGCUUGUCAACUUUUGUCUCCAAAAGUAUGUCUUUGGACUUUGGAGCAAUGUUAUCAGCCAUCUGUUUCUUACUACGGUAUCCAACAAUUGCAUUGUUCUAUGGCAUACAAAUGAUCUAAGUAACCAGAAAUAUUGGAAUAUUUAGCAAUUGCAUCGUUGUGUGACGUAUAAUGAUCUAAUAGUUUGUAACUAGAAACAUUGGAACUUGCCGUUACAAGAAUUAUUUAUUAUGCAAACAAAUUAUGUGAACAUUGACCAAACUAACUUGAUCACAACCAUAAUAUAUAAAACCUAAACAGGACCUACCAAGUAUCAUCAAGAAACUAUCCUUCAUUUCUGAAUGAAGCAGGCUUGCAGUUGCUGAGAAAGGCAAGCUAGAGAUGAUAUCAGUGUUGCUGUUGGAGAGUUUCAUCUGACCUAUCUUGCCGCCCUUGGAGUGGAGCAAGAGAAGCUCCCAUAGGAACCUUUACAGCAGGAGAUUUUUUGAGCUCCUAUACAAAUCUUUGUUUCUUUCUUUCCUUUUCCUUUUUUUUCAUUCACAACUGUCUGUUGUACUUUUUUCAAUCUCUUAAUCGAAUGAUUUAGCAGUUGCUUUGCCCAUAAAGGAAUGUUAUGCUAUAUGUUGAUCCUUAUACAAGAUCUAAAACAAGGUUUUACCUUAUGUUCAAGUCGCAUGUUUAUGCCUUUCCACAGACUGGUAGUUGUGGCUUUCUGUCUGGGGAUUUUGACAUUUGUAUGAAUGAGUUAUUUUUGUAAUAUCAUUAACUUUCACCUAGUCUCACAUAUUACUGAAAAGUUUAUCUUCUUGUAUUUGUGCCUAUUUAUCAAUAUUAUAUUUUGUUGCAUAUAUAUCUAUACUAUAUUUUGUUGCUUCUUAUGCUUGGUAACAUCCAAAUGUCAUACCUCUUUGUUGUCUAGGUUGAUCUUGUUGUACCAUUUCUUGCAAUGCAUUUCUCACCGAAAAUAUUCAGUGCUCUACUUAGAGCACAGGAUGUGUUGUCAGAACAAAAAUCUCAAGUAUUUACAGAGGGCAUUUCGUAUGUAAAUGAUAUCAGUGUACACAAUUGGCCUUCCCUCCAAUUUUCUGUGUCUGCCAUGUUGGACAAUUGGAAAUUCAAUGUCGACCUUGAAGAUGAUGCAGAAAACAGUGCAAUUAUUUCCUUUACUUUCGAGAACCUAUUCUCUAGGUUGGUCAUUUAAUAUUUGUGUAUUUCUAUUUUUUUUUGUCCAAUCUACAGAAUUUCCUUCUCAAUUGCAGGUGUGCUCUGGAGGACUCUAUGAAGUUUUGGUUCCUCACAAAGAUGUUGACAAUAGAUUACUGUUGUUUCAAGGAUGGCCCAAAUUGUAGUACAUUAUGCUCAACAAGAAAUGAAAUAGGUGGCACAAUCAACACGAGUGCUGACCAUGUUGAUCUCAGCAUAUCAGAACUGCCUUCCUGUGAAAGUCCGAGGCAUGGUUGCUUCGAGUUGCAUUACCAAGCUCAAGCAUCUCAGCAGGAAUGCAGUCUCUGCUUAUGCGAUGUCGAUCUCCAUAUCUAUCCUAGAAUUUUUGGUUUGUUGCAGAAGUUUUUCAGCAAACUUAAAGCGCAAUUUUCUUCAUCUGACACUUCUGUCAAGUCCUUCAGAUUGAUUGAUAGUAACAUGGAAAUGAUUGACAAUGGGACUUCUAAGUUUGGUUUCUCCAACUAUCACAAUAUUGAGCAUAAUAUAUUUGGCAAAAUUGAUAUAGACCGAUUUGUUCCCGUUAUGAAAUCAGGUUGCUUAAACAGUCUUGAAGGCUCUAUGAUCUUUGAUGCUCCAGAAUUAAACAAUCUGUGUGCUAAGAAAAAUGAAUGUCCUAAAGGUGUGAAUUUAAAUUUCAGGCAAGGGCAAACAGUGAAGGAUUCUGUUAUGACUUCACCCACAUCUAGCAGAAUGGCUGAACCAUUCAUGAAUUCUGAUAAUAAUUGUUUUAGUAUGAAAUUCUCUCUGAAUAGGGUUAGAGUAUAUUUUCAUGAUUCUUCUUGCAUUUUGGCAACACUUACAGUGCCUACAUCUAUAUCUUGCUUCAGAUUUUGUCAAAAUGAUUGUUGGGAUUUAGUAUCAUCUAUUGAGGGGUUAAUGCUUUCAUCAUCAUGGUCUUGUCCCAACAUCCAUGAGCUUCUAUGGGGACCAUCAUCACCAAGCAAUCUCUCUGUAGUGAAUCUUAGUCUAAGGAAAGGGAAAAUAAAGAUGAUGCUUCCCAUCACAGAAAUAAAUAUCAGCAUUCAGCAUGUUUGUUGCAUCAUUUCAUCUGAGUUUCUAGCAUUGUUGAUAGGUUAUUUUUCUUUGCCUGAUUGGAUACUUGAUGGAAAUGAACAUUUGAGCCAUGAAAUUCUUGAGUUUGAGAAUUCUCGGAAUGAACAAAAUGAUUUGUUAUACAAGUUUGAACUGGUUGACUCCACUGUGCUUUUACCUCUUGAGAACCGUGAGUAUUGUAUACAGGUUGGAUUUCCCCAACUAGUUUGUAGCUUCAUCCCAAUGAGUAGUUCAGCAGAUUCUUUUACGGAGAUUCCUUUUGAGUGCAUGAUAUCAGGAUGUAUGGAUUCUGAGAAAGUUGACAUUGUUAAUGUGUUUGGAAGAAGUGCAUCACUGUCUCUUUUGUUUAUCAGGAAUGACAAAAACUUCCUGUUGAAGCUUGAUGAAUGUAUGUCUAACACAAGUGUCCCUCUCAUUACACAACUGGAUGCUGAUUUAUGGAUCCGAAUACCUUCUACCACAACAGAUGUUUCCCCACAAUCUGUUGUGCCUUUAUUGAUUAUGAUGAGUGUCAGUGUUUGUAACUUAAUUGCUCGGGGUAUGUCUAUGCUUUAGAUGCUUCAUAUAUAGACCAUUGUUUACCAUAAUUAAUUCUCUUAUGUAUUUGCUUGUUCCUAUGUUGUUCAGAUGACCACCUUAUACAUGGACUUGAAGCUGUUAUUGAUGCUGUUGAUCAGUUUUCACUGGUUCUCAAAAGAUCUGAAAUGUACAAGUCUGAUAUCAUGCAGUUUUUGCAAUGCAAGAGAAACAUCAAGGAGGAAGAUGUUGUUUCACUUAACAUCUCAAGCCAAUUUUUUGUUAGUGUAAGAUGUUGCAUAAAGACUCUAUCACUAACAUUCUGUCGCUUCAGGGCAGAAGAUUCUUCAUCUGAGAUGGUUGCAAAUGCAGAAAUGCAAGUUAAUCUAUCUGCCAUAAUGAGAAAUGAGGUGCUACAAUCUCUUGAUGUGAAUAUUCCAUGUGUAGUUGUACGCUCUUCUAGUAGAAAUAUUCUGUUAAUAUCUUUCACACCUGAAGGUGCUAGUUCUUCCCAUCUUUGUUUCAAUUUCUCCAGUUGCAGUGCUGAAUCUGAACUUCUGGUCACUGUAGCUUCUCUUGAUCUUUGGUUACACUUGUCAGACUGGAACAAUAUUUUUGAACUUCUUCAGUUCUACAUAACACACUUGGUCAGUACUCCAAUUUCUUCCAGUGCAGAUCCGCAGUCCGGGUGUCAUUUUGUCUUAGAUCCUGCCACGCCCACUUGUUUUGCAUCUGAAUAUGUUGUGCAGGAAAAUAUUAGUUGGAAACUUAAAUCAGAGAAUAUAACAAUUUCAUUACAUAUACCUAGCUCAAGUGAUGGAGAGCUGAUAGAUUCUGAAAUGAUUGAAAUAGCUAACAAAAAUUCUCAGGAACAUACCUGCAAUAAUUUAGUGGAAAAUAUGCCACCCUUCAAGGUAAAGAAUUGCAAUUUUGUGAAGAUCACUGUCCAUAGUAAAAGUUGUGAGAUGAUCAUAUGUGAAGGUUGUGUGGAACUGAAAUGUAAUUUGGAAAAGAUGAGGGUUACACUAGAGAUGGUUCAAAAUUAUGAUAUCACUUCCAUUCCAUUUAUGCAUGUAUCUCAGGUGAAGGCAGGAGCUAGUCUAUGCAGAAAGCAAGGGGAGUUGGUUUAUAUAUCUUCUGAGAUUAUUAUCGAAUCUUUAGACAUUGGAGUUUCGUAUCAAGUUUUAUAUUUCUGGAGUUGCUAUAAGUUAAGGGUUCCUGAAACAGCAUCAUCCCCAAUAUUUCGCCAUUGUUUGGCUUUUAAAGUCCAUUUCAAGAAGGGCUCUCUUCUUUUGAGUGAUGGAAGGGUAUGCCAUUGAACUUCGGCUUUCUAUCUUAUUUGUUGCUUGGCCAUGUUUGUUUAAGUUUCUGAAUUCUGAUGUGACUGAAGAUAUGUAUAAUGUGUACCUUAAAUAUUUCUGAUAUGGUUUACAAUAACAAGAGACAACUUCUGGAUAUGACUGCAUAGCUUGAUGACUGCUAUGAACACUUAUCUUGGCCAUAAAUGCUGUCAUAAGUUGGAAUGUUUUGUGUUGUCUUUUUUCAUUUGGGAGUGAAUAUCUUGUUUGCCGAUAAAUUCUCUUUUAAAAAAUUUCAUCUUCUUUUGUUCUUCACUAUAUUCUUAGCUUUCAAAAAUUAAUGUAUAAGCAUGCAUGAAUUCAUGACAACAAUUUUUCUAGCCGCAAGCAUGUUUUCUGUAAUAAUCAUGUAGGCCACCACUUUUUUUCUUAUUUGAAACUUGUUUCUAAUGGUUGCCAUCUAUAGGGUGAGUUGGUUUCAGCACUGAUGUUGAGAAAGUAUUUUAGUAUGCUGCUGCAUAGUCAAGUAAAUUCAUUGCGUUUUUUUUUUUCAAAUUUAACAGAAAAACGUUACAUGUUUAUAUGGUCUUUCUUUAUCUGGAGGCUGAUGUAAGUUUUACCCAAAGAAUAUGGUUUCUUUCCUACAGAAAUAAUAAAUGAUGUGGCUUUCAUUUCAAUGAUGCAGGAAGUAGGAACUUGUUAAAAUCCUUUCAUUUUCUGAGCUUUUGAAUAAUGUUUAUUGAGUCUGUUUAAUUCAGUUAGAAUCGGAUAGAGGUUUAUUUAAUAUUUUAUUUAUUAUUAAGAGUCCAAGUCCUGGUAGACUCUAGGUAGAACUCUAUAAAUAGUGAUAUAAUCGUUUCUUUUCGGCAGACAAUGAAAUAUUAUUAAGUCUUUUGACUAACCCUAGGAGGUCGAUCCCCUCGAAGUGAUCAUCCCAUUUUCUCCCCUUUCUUCCAUGAUAAAACCCUAGGGUCUUAUCAGAACUUCCCACUCUUACAAUGAAUUCUUUCAUAACAGCCAAUCACCUAAAAAUAUUUGGUUUUAGGUGGACAUAUCAAUUUCCAGUCAUGUUUUUUAAUUUGUCACCAUUUAGGAAAUGUUAAGAAGCUUUGCAUAUUAUCUCAAUUGGUUCGUCAUAUAUAAUGGUAUUUUCUAGGUGAAAUGGCAAAUUUAGAAUCACAGAGAAUUGAAAAGAUGAAAUAGGCCAAGGUUUAUAAAGAAAGGAUGUCAUGUUGAAGAUCCUUGCCAACAAUCGUAUUAGACUUUUCCAACAAAGUUGCAUAAGGCUUAUUUUAUCCAGAUGUUUUUUCAAGAUCGAAUUGAAGUAGAGUUUCCAGUUCUUAAAGAAUAGGCAAUAUGAAAAAGGUCCUAGUAUGCCAGAUAAGGGUGUUCAACUUCCAAGUUAGCCAGAUAUUCUUUUUGCAGUAUACGGAACGAAAGAUUGUCAUCAGCAAAUUGUAAGAAAGGAACACCAGAAUAAUUGGGGAAGGUUCACAAUUCUCUUAUUAAGCCGGUCUCCUUAUCAAAAGUGGGAAACCUGAGUGCAGACCUCAAGAACAAAAAGAAGAGAGGAUAGUAUCUCCUUUUACCCAAGGUUGCUUUUAGGGCAAACUGUUUUCUGAUUAUUAGGAUACAAUGUUACAUUGAGGAUUUUAAGCAAGUUAAAAGCUCAAUCUCAAUCAUCUAAUUCAGUUAGGUCCAAAACCUUUAGUUUUGAUGAGAUACUGAAAUACCAACCUUUUAUAUUAAAAUUUUCUUAGAGUGUAGCAUCAUCACUAGGCUUUUGAAGUCAUACCUGGCACAAAAGUAAACAAUUUCAUGGGCCAUAAUGAAAUAAUCAGCUAGGCAUCUUCCUCUAUCAAAUGUCACUGCAAUAGACGAAAAAUAUCAGAGAGAAUUUUGAAAAGUUCAGAAUCACCGUCCUGGUAAAAACUUCAAAAGAUCAAUUUUCAGAAUUUUUGUCUUGAAUUUUAGCUCACUUGACCCCUUGAACUCUUGGAAUGAUAGAAUUCAAUGCAUAAUUAAGAGUUUAAGACUACUUUGUUCUUAGGAUUAGUAUUCGAAUUGCACAUUCUAUGUUAGCCUGACAAUGAAAUGUUACGUUUUAUCAACAUGGUAUUACGGCAUGGCCGCAUUCUGAUACAAUUUUGCCAUGAGGGCAAAAAAGGUAAAUGAUUCUGAUACAACAUUCUGAUACAACUUUGCUGUGAAGAAAGACUAGGAAAAUAAAUAUAUAACGUGUCAAGACCAAGUUCUAUGGGAUUUCUCUCCUUGUGUGUACAGGCUCCUAUUACAUGCAAAUGCGCAAACAAGUCUCAAACUAAACCUCUUUUCUUCUGUCCAGUAGUAAAACCUCAGCCUGAAUAACUAACUUAUUCUAAUAAAAUAUAGCAAGUGCUAACCUAUUUCAUGUGAUUAUACUCUGUCAAUUGGUUCAAUUUUUUGGACUUACUCAACCUUUUAUCUUAUAUAAAAAGGGAAUAUAAGCUAUUUAAUCUAUCCCUGUUUUUUUUAAUAUAGACCUAUGUAAAUGACAUGACCAUUUUUGCUUGCAUAUUCUCCUUUAGUCCUUUGAUGUCUUUUGAUGUACCUAAUUAUCAGCACUUGUGGUAUUUACUGGGAUCAACUGGUGGUAAGACCAAUGGCAAGGUUUUUAGUCUUGGAAUUGGUGCUUGUACUAGUCCCUUGGCAGAUUAUAUGGUACACAAUAUGCUGGUGUAUUAUAGUACCAUCUGGUACUGAUCAAAUAAAAUAAGAAAUAAGAAAACCAAAAGGGUGGAAAAUCUGGCAAUAAAUUAGGAAAAUUAGAGAAAGAAUUCCUGUAGCCUCGGCCUAUUUACCUAAGUAGCACCUAUCACUGAGCUGUAUCGUCUACCUUCACUGUCUCUUCCUCUCCUCACUUCUCCAUUUGUCUGUGAUCCUACCACAAUUUUGAGGUCCCUAAGUCCUGAGUUUUGACUUCUUUAAGCAUACAAGGGGUUCAUGAACCAGUUCAACUCUACUCAUUUAGCGCUAAAAUGGGACUAGUCUCCUGUAUGUCAGCCUGGUUCGAAUUAGUCAAUGUCCUAUUCCAUACUUGGACCAAUGCAAACCCAUGCAAACCAAGCUCCCAUGCAAACCAAGCUGGAUGCCAUGAGUUUCAAUUUUUGGACUGAGACCUGUAUUGGUCCUUGACAGGAUUGGUAUGGUCUGGUACAUAACAGCAUACUGGCACAUGGUCAGUGUACUGAUCAACAUGAACCAAAGAGAAAGAGGCAGAGAAGAGGGGGUGGAGGAGGAGGAGGAGAAUGAAGAGGAGGAAGGAGAGGAAAGCUGCUGUUGACAGGCUGAGCGGUUUAAGAAAGAAGAAAACUUAAAAAGGCCAGUUUCAAACUGGUCCAGGCGAAAUUGGCUGAGUUCUAGUUCCUGGUUGGACUGAUAAAUACGUGUUAAUUUGUGCCGGUCUGGCCAGUUUUUUGAACCUUCCGUUUACCUAUGGGUACCUCGCAGGUGUAUGGUCUAUUGAAGCAUUGUUGAUUGUGAGUAUCUGGUUGAUUGCCAAUCGCAUGUUUCCAAUGUGUGAACUGUGAACUAUUCCUUAUAUGUAACUUAAUUGGCCUUUAAUGAAGCAGGCAAUCCGGCACAGCACAUAUCAUUGGACUCUUGAACUUCUCAUGGUUGCUGGGAGGCUCGUAUGAACGAGAAUUUAGAUCCUAGUUCUCUCUCCUGCCAUUCAUAUCUAUUAUAUUAAAGUAUGAUGAUUUAAAUUGUAAUGGCUACAUUAGGAACUAUUAACACACAAGUUCUUCUCGCACGCACCUUGUCUAACACCCACAAACUUAACAAAUGUUAAGUGACAAUUCUUGCAUCAUUUUGGCAAUCAUUGAUGGGAUGGUGCUGGGAAAGGGAUGUGACCAUAUCAAUGGGCUUAUAUGCGUUUGGGAUGGGAAUUGACCAUAUCACAUGGGUAGGUGUUCAACUAUGUGAUUGAUCAAGUAGGUGCCAAAAGUAUGUUUCCACAUUAGAUUGUUUGCAUAUAUCAUACUAUGGAGUUGGUUGAUCAUUUUGACAUUAGUUCUAUGGUCAUUACUUUGUUGUUGUAAAAGCCUUGUCCAGUUCUUGCAGUAGAAAUCAAUUAAUAAUUAUGAACUUAAAUCUUGUUAGAACUAUGUUUGAUACGGCUUCAGUUUCUCAUAUAAGUUCAUGUAUCUUUGACGUAGUGGAGCUAUCAUGGACCUAUUCUGGAGACCUUAAUGAAGAACAUGCUUAUACAGUUCAAUCGAACAGAAGAUGUCACAGAGGGUUCAGCUGUUGCUGAUCUGUUGAUUAACUACAAUAACAUUGAUAAGGUAUAUUAAAGAGACUUGUUUUACCAUCUUAUGUUGUCUUCAUAAUAUUUUGGUAUACUUUAUGAGUAAAUUCUUUGUAGGUUAUGUGGGAACCUUUUCUAGAGCCAUGGAGUUUUGAGUUGAAUAUGACAAGAAAAUAUGAAGGGUAUAUCUUGAAUGGAUAUGCAGUUACUGAUGUAUAUUUGAAGUCGACAAAGCUACUUAAUUUUAAUAUUACAGAACCACUGGUUGAGGUACAAAUUUACUGUUCUAGUAAUUUAUCUUUUUGUUUCUACAUCAUUACUACAUGAGGCACCUAGGAUGUGCGAGGGAGUUAGCUAUUUGGCAAUAUUUUUAAAUUUUAGUGCAAUUCUUGCUGAAUUUGAGUUUUUGCAUGUAUUUUUUAUUUAUGUUCAGAACAAUGCAAAAUCUUCCUCAUUGCUUUGUGUCUUAGAGUGGAAGUUGUUCAUCAGUCGUGUCUUUCAUUACCUUCUGGCUGGAUACUUUGGCUAGGGAAUCACAGUUCAACUUCGUGUGCUGCAACAUUCAUAUUAUUGUUUCUUUUUUCCUCCUAAUCUUGAAGUUCUGUGCAGGCUAUCUUCAGGCUAAAUCAUGUGGUUAAUGAUGCUACUAAUCUUGCUGAUGCAUAUGGUUUCCAAGAAACUCAUGGAAUCUUGGGAUUACAGACUACUGAAGACAUACGUAAAAGAAGAUAUGCCCCAUACAUUCUCCAUAAUGACACAUCUUUGCCUCUGGCAUAUCAUGUGUACCAUGGCCCAGUUGACAUGGAUAAUAUCCACAGCUUUCCUACAGAUGAUGGAAAUAUUGUUCAACCAGGUUUUUCUGUUCCCAUUUAUGUCGAGGAAAAUCUUAAUGAACAAUAUUUUGAACGCAGAGCUUCAUAUUCUUCUGAAAGGCUUAUAGAGAAAAAGAUGAGUGCGAUAGCACAUCAUAUGAUGUCUAUCCACUUUGAAGGAACUUCUGGGCCUUCAAGACCUAUGUCAAUGGACCUUGUGGGCUGUAGUUAUUUUGAGGUAAAUUUUUCUAAAAGUAAGCAUUCUAUUCUUGUUGAAGCAGAAAAAGAUGGCAAGAUAUUAGGAUGUAGUUGGCAGACUGAGGAGCAGUGCAAAAACGAACAUUGCAAGGGAUUAGUUGUUCCUGUCGUAUUUGAGGUUUCUAUGCAGCAUUACAGCAAGAUUAUAAGACUAUACUCAACGGUAGUAACUGCAAUUUGUUUGAUAUUAUUUUAUUGUUUCAUGCAAGAAAUAAAUUUGCUUUCUGCUCCAGGUUAUAGUUUUCAAUGCAACUUCAGUGCCCUUGGAGCUACGUUUUGACAUUCCAUUUGGUGUGUCUUCUAAGGUAAUGAUUUCUUUAUGAGUUAUCAAGUCACUAGCAAAAUAUAUUGAUUAAUUGGGUCUGCUGCUCACAGUACAUCAAUGCUAUUGUUUUCAGGGUAAUUUGCAUGAUUUUGGUUAAUUUCUAAUUUUUUUUUUCUUGAAAUCACUUAAUUCCAUUCAGAAAUUUUGCAUUAUAGCUAUGUACUGGUCCAAUUUAAAAUUUUCAUCUUUUAAUUCUGAUGUUCCUGCUUUCAUUCUCAUUGGAAGUCAGUUUAGUAGGAAUUUGCUCCAACUUCAAACUAUACUUGUAAAUGGAAAAGUCUGGAUAUUUUUUCUAACUUUUCUCUGUUUUAGGUCUUAGGACCAAUACUUCCAGGGCAAGAGAUUCCAUUGCCACUGCACUUGGCUGAGUCUGGCCAAAUUAGGUGGCAUCCAGGUGGCACACAUUACUUGUGGAGUGAAGCACAUUCACUAUCAAAUAUACUAUCUCAAGAAAAUAGGCUUGGAUAUUUGAGAUCAUUCGUGUGCUAUCCCUCUCAUCCUAGUAGUGAUCCAUUCCGUUGUUGUAUAUCUAUUCAAGAUCAUGGUCUGUGUUCAGCAGGUGCUGCAGAAAAACAUUCAUCAAUUAAUAUUCAUGAGACUGAACAACUUAUCUUCAAAAGUAACAAGUCAAAGUUUCCAAAGAAACAUGUUAUACGCCAUGUGAGGCUGAGUACUCCUUUGUUGGUGAAAAAUUAUCUUCCUACAUGUUUAUCCUUCAUUGUAGAAACCGGUGGAGUCACACAUUCUGUUUCUCUUUCAGAGGUUUGGUUAUAAGCCGCUUUAAUUAAUUUUAUCUGGAUACUGUGCUGUUUUCUAUAGUUUUGAACAUAUUACUUUUAUUUUCUAUAAUUAUAUUCUUACAGUACUUUAGUUUCAGGUCGGUACUGCUUCUGUUUAUCAUGUUGAUUCUGCACAUGACCUAGUACUAACUUUUGAAAUGAAAGGAUUCAGGCAAGUGACAUCAAAGUUUCCUCGAGCAGAAUCAUUCUCUUCUAUGGGCAGGUUAAAUGGUUCCUUCUACUUUUCAUCUGAAAAAUUGGCGUUCUAUCCUGAAAACUCAAGUGGUAGUAUAUUGUUUAAAAUGUUUGCCUUAAUACUGUUGAUAGAUCACAUAUGUUUUAUAUAUAGGCUGACCUAAUUUUUAAUUAUGUUAGGUUCUGUAUGUGUCACACUUGAUAAAACAAUGGAUGCAUCUUGUGGGGCAAGAGAGAUAUGCCUGUCAGUUCCCUUUUUGCUUUACAAUUGUACCAGUCUGUUUCUCACCAUCUUAGAUGUCAACCAUGAGGGAAAGGGAAAUGCUGUUGUUAUUCCUUCAAGUUAUUAUGAGAUUGAGCAUAAACAGCUUCUUGAUGGAAAGGAUGGUCUUGCCCUUAUAUCUUCCGAGUCAAUAUCAUCUUCUGAUCCCUUUCUUUUAGAUAAUAAUUUGGAGGCCAGAAAACAGGACAAUGUGUCUACAAAAAUGGAUUGCGAUCAAUCUUCAGUGUCUUAUGAAGUUUCUCAUUAUAGUGAAAUAGGUCAUAAAGUUGGAAGCAGUCCAUCUUAUUUGCCAAGGAAAGCUGGAAAGGAUGCUGGCUAUAUGCAUGAUGGAGGCAGCAGAAAAGCUAAGCCAUAUAUCUAUGGUCCUACUGUCCGUAUUCCAGCUAAUGAACUUCUGGUUAAGCUGAGCGCUGCAUUGUCAAAAUCCAGAUCUAGCACCAGUCACAACCAAACGUGGUCAAAACCAUUUUCUCUUGUUCCAGAAAGUGGGUCAACAAAUAUCAUUGUCCCUCAGCCAUUUGCUUCUGGUGCAUUUUUAAUAUCUGCUGCAUCAGUCCCUGUUGCUGGAGAGCUGUCCGGGAGGACAAGGGCUAUUACUUUUCAGCCUAGGUAAUUUGCAAAGUAAAAUAGGACAUAAUAUAGGGUGCACAGUAAAAUGCUAUCCAAAUUUUACCUCUUUGUUUUAUGUCAUUUAUAUUUUAAGUUUAAUGUUGCUUCCAUAUUCUUAUUCUGGUUGCUAUCUAUAAAACAUUUGCUGUAGCAAGAUGGAAGAAGGCAAUGAGCCUUAGUUUCAUUAAAUGAAUGACAUAAAUUUAACAAAGGAUCAUCAGAUGGGAAUCAAAAGCAGCUAACUGGUUCUUAUUCUGCAUGUGCUUUGGAUUGGUAACUUCUUCACACAGACAUUAAAUCCAUUAUAAGCAGCAACCAUGUUGCAAGCGCUUACUAGUGGAGUUGAAAAGACAAAAAAAGGUUUGCUUUUUCUCUAUACUAGAUUUGUAUGUUUAGGAACAUAGUUAAUUCAUAUUUCUGUGAAUAGGUACUUUUUGAUGAUCAUGAAAAUGUAAACAAUCUCCUGCUAUCCUCUAAUAUAUUUUAUUGUGAUUAAAGGCCUUCUGUAGGUGAUAGACCAUUCCUUUCUUUACAAUUGUUAAAUUUUAUAUGUUUUUCCUUGUUAAGUACUUUUAAUCAACAUGCAAGUACUGGUAAAUUACCAUACAGCUUUUUACCAAUAUAUUGGUUAAGAAAAUGUGAAAGUGCAUUUCUCAACCUCAAUUUUCAAUUAUUUCAGUAAUAAUGUGUAGUUGGUAUACUGCUCGAUAGAUCAUAUCAGUUAUCAUAAGUCAAAAUCAGUACUGGACUGGUAUAUAAAACCUUGUUUCUGAUAGCUUAAUGCACCCUGGUUAAUCUCUCUUUUUUUUUCCUUGCAGAUAUGUCAUUUGUAAUGCGUGCACUAAAGACUUGUUUUACAGACAAAAGGGAACUAACAUUUCUUACCAUUUGGGUAUUGGGCAACAUUCUCAUCUUCACUGGUCCGAUACAUCAAGGUUUCUGCUAUUGUAUUACAAUAUAACUUACUGUCUUUAGUGUAAUCACCCCAUUUACUGGUAUCCCAGUCUCUUAUGCUCUGAUUUGCAUGUAGAAUACUUCUCGAAAGUGAAAUAUAGUUAGUUUGGUAGUGUAUAUUCACAAUCUAAGCAUCAAUUUAAUGUCAUUUUCAGUUGAUUCAUAGACAUUGUAUAUUUUCAGUGUUAUUUUAGAUUAAUAAAUUUUUCAAUGCAAAUACUCAAUCAAGAUGUUGUUAAAAGGUAAUAUUAGUAAUCAGAGUUUGUGAAAUACCUCUUAAAUGGACAUUCGUUCCACUUCUUAGCCAUACUAGGAGUUAUAUAUUAUUUGGUAAAUUAAUAGGAAUUUAAGUCAUGGUAUGGGGGGAAAAAGUGUCUGAUGUACUGCUCCAUUGACUUGUAGAAUCCAAGAUGGCAUAAAAUUGUUUCAUAAGCAUGUUGAUUCCAGCAUGUUAUAUUCAUUAUAGAUGCAAAACUUGUCUAUUGAUGCAGCAUAAACUUCUGGAUCCUUACCACCUCAAGUUCCUAUAUGUUAAUUGGAAGUAUGUUUAGUGAUGUUCUGUUGACCUCCACUCUCCAAUGACUAUUUGAUAUUAAUUCUUUAUAGACAAGUAACUGUAGGUCUCACCACUUGACAGAAGUUAAAAUUAUUGUUGGAAGUUGCAGCUCAUAUUAUAUUUACACUUGUCAUGUUGGCACUUAUAUUAGGUAAAGAUUACUGUUAAACUUUUAAAAUCGAAGGCAAUUUUGUCGAGAAAGCAUAAAAAGAUUAUUGUCUUUGACCAAUGUCAAAGAUCCUGCAUGCUAUGGCCUCUAACAUCUAUAUAUAGCUAUAAUUCUUAUAACUGUUGUGUGCUCCUGCGGACUGAAUUUAGUUUGUUAGCUCUUUUUUUGGCAUUUUAGAUAUGGCUAUUUAAACUGCUCAUGGUUUUAUAGUCUCAUUCCAAGAUCUUAAUGUGGUUCGAGUUCUUCAACAAAAAAUAAUAAUAAUAACUUUUUUGUUAAAGUAUUUGUUAAAAUGUUGCUUUCACUUUCUUUCUUUCAGCACCUCAUGUAAAAUAUCUUGUUGAAUACUAAUUCAUGAGCAUUAAGCUGCUGCAGAGAACUACUCAUUGCCCUUCGAUUUGGUGAACCUGGUUCUCAGUGGUCAGGCAGCUUCCUUCCAGAUUGCCUUGGGGAUGCUCAAGUGAAAAUGAGAAAUUAUAUAACUGGUGUAUCGAACAUGGUUCGAGUUGAAGUACAAAAUGCUGAUGUGUCAAUAAGCAAAGAAAAUGUGAUCAAAAACCCCAGUGGACAUUCUAUGACACAUCUAAUUCUUCUAUCCGAUGACAAAACUGGGUUUAUGCCAUAUAGGAUAGACAAUUUCUCGAUGGAGGUAAUUGCUUCCUGAAGCAAGUUUAUUAUGAUUUUACUGGCCUCAUGGUACAAACGAUGUGUUAUUUUUAUUCUUGCUAACAUUUCUACUCAAACCAUUUUCCAUUCUUAUAAUUUGUUCAACUAAGCUUGUUCAUAUUUGCUAUUCCUUAAGGUUAAAGUUAUCUUUGUGAUAAGUGUAAGAUUAAAAGGACAAAAUAAAUGAUUUUGUGUGUUAUAAAGAGAUUUAUGUAGUUAUUGUGCAUCGAGCUAGUAUAGCAUGUGAUUUUGAUGUAAUGUAAAGAUGAGGAAGAUAUUGUUUGUGGAAUUAAAACAAGAUGGUUAAAAUGAUGACUGUCAAGAAUAUUGCUUGAUUAUGGUAAAUGUCAAUAUUUCAAAUACUGGUUGGAGUUCACAGAUGGAGACCUGAUUGAAACCAUGAAUUAAUAUUUAUAUGUUCUUAAUCAAGGAAUGCAUUUUCAUAUCAGACCUGUACCAGUACAUGGUCGGACCAGUAUAUACUGUCAGUAUUGGUGUAGCAACACUUGGUACACUGUUAUGUACCGGUUUGUGAGAAAAGGCUGAAAAAUUAGAAGAGGAGGCAGCAGAGCAGGGAAGGAGGAGAAGAGGGCCUAGAAGAAGAGGAGAGGCAGUGAUGCAGAAGGAUAGGAGGGAAGGAGGAGGAGAGGCGGCUGCACAGAAGGAGAGGAGUGAAGUAGGUGAUGGAAAAAAAUGAGGGGAGAAGGCUGCAACAGAGGAGGAAAGGAGGCUGUGGAGGAGCAGAAGAAUACCAAGUACCAACGCUAGGGCUGGUGGCAGCGGCACACAUAGGCAGUGAUGGAAAGCGAGAAACGAGGGAUGCAGGUGAUGGCUGACACAGACAUGGGGGAAGGGGAGAAUGCAGGAGAGGAUAACUCAGGGUUUUACUUUCUAUUUUCAAAAUUUAUUAAAAAACGGGUUGGGCUACUGCCUGGCCCAGGCCCAUUACCGGGUGUGAACCCGAUAGUAAGCCUGGUUCACAAGGCUUACCAAGUGGUAAGCCUGUAUUGCACCUGAACCGCCUGAAAUUGGGCUGGUCCUCAUGCAGGUCAGCAAUCAGACUGCUAAAUACUUGUCAUACCAUACCGAACCAGGCGGAAUUGCAUUCCUUGCUCUUAAUAAUUAAUAUGACUAAGUAUAUUGCCCUAAUGGCAGCAAAAGAUCCAACCAAUCGAUCCCAAAUAGUUGGGAUAUUACAGCUUGUUGUAGAGUGAAAAUCUCUGUGGCUGGACUUUAUGGAGAGAAUUCAUAUUGCUGACAUUCUUGUAAUUUGGGUUAUGCAGAAAUAUGUUCAGAGUCCGACUGCUGUGUCUCUCUUUAUCAUCCCCGCCUGUUUUUUUAUUCCUUUUAUGCCCAUUGUUUUCAUAAUAAACUGCAUUGGAUAGGCUUCAUCUAUUCUUUGCUCUACAAAGAAAGUACCAAUAUCAGAUAGUAAAAAUGUGACCAGGAUAGAAAAUUGAUCUUGUACCAUUAGGACUUCUAAUUUAUACUGCUGUAUUCCAUAUAUUUUGAAGCUUGGUAGAUUAGCCUUUUUGCAGAGACUCCUUUUUCAUCAAAUUCAAGUGCUGCCAUCAAUGAUUAGAAAACUUUUUGUCAACCAUUGCUUGUCCUAUACAAUUGAAAUAAUUCCCUAACAUAGGAACAUCUCUUUUAUAGAAGUAAAUUUUAGCUUCAUAUCAUAUUUCUCCCUCUGCAAGCUUCCUUAUAUAAAAAAAACUUGAUUGAAGUGUAUUAGUUAAUGUUGCUUUUGUUAUUCAGACAUUGCGGAUUUACCAACAUAAAUGUGAAUCAUGUGACACCACAGUACAUCGUUACACAUCUUACCAGUAUGCAUGGGAUGAACCUUGUUACCUUCAUCGUCUCAUUGUAGAGGUAUGAGCAAUGUCUUCUCCUUUUGGGCCUUGAGCUUCCAGUUUCAUCGUUAUAUAUGUCAAUGUGUUUUUUGUUAGGUUCCUGGUGAGCGAAUUUUAGGAGCAUACAGUCUAGAUGAUAUAAAGGAGCAUGCACCUGUGUACUUGCCUUCAACAACUGAGGUACAUGAAUAUCAUUUUUUGUUGAGAAUCAGAAUUAUUAUCCAUCUCAUCAGUUAUGCAAUUGAUAGCUCUCAUGUAUAAAUAACUGUAUUGCUGUUGUUAUGAUGUUCCUUUUCUUGGAUUGUAGGAAGUUGUGAUGUAAGUUGUUGGAAGAAACAUCCAAGUCAUCAUCUCUUUUGGCAUAAAUUUCCUUUGUAAUCAUUGUGAUUUUCUUCUUUCUUAGCUAAGAAAAACUUAGUCAUAUGGUCUGUUGGUUAUAUUCUUUGCAGAAACCUGAAAGAAGGCUCUAUAUCUCGGUACAUUCUGAAGGAGCAGUCAAGGUAUCUCUUGUUCUUCCAAGUUCUAUAGUCUGAUAUAGAAUUUUUAUAAGGUGCAUUACUGAAUCGCUGAAUAUUCUUCAUUCUCAUGCUACAGGUGCUCAGUAUCGUCGACUCAAAUUAUCAUAUUGUAAAUGAAAAAGAGGGGAACAAUUUCCUUGGAUCCAGGGAUAAAAAGGUUGUUGAUCAGAAGAUGGACUGUCAUGCUGGUUUCACUGAAGUGUUCACAUUACAUGUUCCGUUUCUUGGGAUUUCCUUGAUGAAUCCCACUCCUCAGGUAAAUGAAGUAUUUCUAUUCUUAACCAUGAUACUGUAUCGAUAGUUUCGAGUAUCUUGUCAUCAAGAGCUUAUUGUUUAUUUGAAGGAAUUGGUUUUCGCAUGUGCAAAGGACACAACAGUUGUUUUGAUGCAAAGUAUGGAUCGUCAAAAGAUAUCAUUCAGAACCUUAUCCCUUCAAAUUGAUAAUCAGCUGCCUGAUACUCCGUAUCCCAUAGUGCUCUCAUUUGACCAAGGACACAGAGGCCGAUCCACAAACAUCUUGAAAAGUGGGGAGAAUAAGUUAAAUUUUCAGAAAGAGACGAAUUUUGAAAAUACAAUUGAACCUGUCUUUUACCUUGCUGCAUCCAAGUGGAGGAAUAUGGACAAAUCAUUGGUGUCGUUUGAAUAUAUAGACUUAGGGUACUUUUCAGUUCUUAAUUUUACAUUUUUUUAAUAUGUGCAUUGAGGAUCUCAUGUAUUUAUGCUAUCUCUUUGUAGUUUGGCCCCUAUGUGUAUUGAGCUUGAAGAACAAAUACUAUUGAGCUUGUUCGAGUAUUUUAGAGCAGUAUCAUCAAGACUAGAGAACAUAAGCGUAGGAAAAAAUUUUGGAUUGUGUAACCGGAACUGCAGUUCAGAUGGGAACCUGGAUAAUGCUCAGGAUUAUAAUGGGAAAAAUGUGUUAACAGAGAGUGAAUUUAUUGGAACCGAAGAAAGGUGUGGAUUAUUGCCUUCUGUAUUUCCAGUUGGAGCCCCAUGGCAACAGAUUUAUCUUUUGGCAAGAAGGAAGAAGAAAAUAUAUGUUGAAGCUUUUGAACUGGCUCCUAUAACAUUAUCCUUAAGGUGAAUAUGUGAAGUUGCUAUUUACUGUUUUUCUAAGAUUUUUUUUAUACUAGAUAAUGAUGAAUAACAUGAGAAAAAUGCUAUAUCUUUUAACACAUUCAAUUUUUUCAAGGAAGAAUCUUCUUGUUAUCUUUAACUAAAAGUUCAUUGUUCUAAUGAUUAGCUUCUCAAGCACUCCUUGGAUGAUAAGGAAUGAAGUCCAUGCAGAUAUCGAAUCUUUAGUUCACAUCCCUAGUAACACACUUCAGGUAGCUAUGCUAUCUUUGUUAUGAGAAUUGAGUACUCCUGUAGACAUUUUCUGUAAGACAGAUUUGACAACUUUAUGGUUUAACGUUUUUAUUGGUAAAUCUAGAUGUGUAUUACUAGAUAGUCUAGAGCAUAAUAUGUAAAUAAUCACCUAGAUAUAUAGAUGUUACCUCAUUCUUAGAGGGAUUGGUAAAUUUAUAAGUAUGGUUACAAUAAAAAACAAAUAUAUGAUCCGGUCCCUAUUUUAUUUUCUUAUUUCUUCAUGUAUGCUUUCUCUCUGAUAUCCAAGCAUCAAUUUGUGAAUGAGAAAAGUUUGUUUUUCAUGUAGCUUUGUGUUUACUGACUGCAACUUGAUAACCGUUUUAAGCAAGGUUUGAUUUACCAGUCCGAGCCGGUGUGCCGGCUGUGCCGUGUCGCUCUGUACUGGUGUACCGACACAUGGUAUGUCGGUGCGUACCAAAGUUUCGACAAGGACGAAUAAGAGGUUGAAGAGGAAGGUCCGGUGGAGGAACAAAUGAGGAAAAAGGAGAAAGGAAGAAGAAGAAGAAAGAAAAGGAGAAGUGUAGCGAUACCUGGGAAGCAGCGGCAGCAGCAAAGGGAAGCAGUAGCAUCACAGCGGCAAAGAGGUGGUGCUGCUGCAGCAUCGCAACGACAAAGCGGCGAAGAGGCGGCGCCGCUGCAAGAUCGUAGCGGCGAAGUGACGAAGAGGCAGCGCGGCUUCCGCAUUACAGUGGCAAAUCAGUGAAGAGGUAGCGUUGCUGCAGCGCCGAAGAGGCAGUGCCGCUGCUUCGUACGCGAGAAGAGCCCUAUUAUGCUUCUUUUUUUUUAACGCUGAAAUGGACUGGUGCCCACCACUUUUUUAUUUUUUUAAUUAUUUGAAUGCAGACUGCCUGAAACAGGGUGGUCCGCGUAUCAGUCCACACCUGGACCGGUAUAUACCGCCCAAACCGUACCAUUUUGGGCGGUACAGCAAUCCCUGGUUUUAAGUAUAUUUGUGCUUUUGACCGUUGAAGAUUUCCUUUUGUUUAUAUGCUUGUCCUUAAAAGUGGUGAUUAUUCAAUAGAUUUUUUUUCUCUUCUGACAACAUAGUUCAGCACUGAUAGUUUGUUAAAAGGUGACUCCAGUAAAUAAAAAGAGUACUGUUAAUUGAACCUUAGAAGUAUUCAUACUGAGUUUGUUAUCAAGGGGAAAUUUUUGUACUGAGGAUAGUAACAUUAUGCAAUGUUUUGCUUAGAUGAAAACUUGAAACAUGAAGUGUUGAAUAUGCUUGAACAUAUACAAAAUGGAGACAAUAUUUUCUUAGUUGCUAGCACACUGGCCAUGUCUGACUUUCAAAGACUUCCAAUGAGUACCUAAGUCAUGUUUGUACCAUGCUGGCAGAUUGUUCAGAGUUCGACAUGAAGGUUCAAAUUAUACGCCUCCUUGCUUCAUCCUUAUUUCUUUGAAGUGUAAAUAGGCAUAUAUCUUUUUAAUAUAUGACAAGGGUCCUAAACAAAUGUUGUGUGCUAACUAACAUGAUUGUUCCUAGUAUUUAAGAAUCUACAAUCAGAUCAAUCUUUGUGUUUCAGGUUAAUCAGAGAAGCUAGGUAAUUCAUAUAAUUGGAAAUCUAGGAAGUGCAAAAAAGUUCAUCAUUCUCUAAACAACCAGCUAAACUAAGCUAUAAGAGUUUAACGAGAUAUGUAAGAUUAGGGCAGUAGGCUGCAUGAGGUUCCCUCUGCUGCAAAGUAUGGGGAUGAUCAAAUGUGCACAACCUCUCUCCAUCACAUUGAGAGGCAAUUUUUGCAAUUCAAACCCAUAAUGGCAGGUCAAAUAAAGAGAUGCCACUUAUGUGCCAGGGCUUUUGAACUGAUUACCGUGGAGAUCAAAACUGUCAACUUAAGAAAUUUUUGUAUGCAGAUUUUAUUUGUUCUCCAAUUCACUUGUUAGUUGGAUAAGAUGCUGUUGAAGUGGUUAACGGGAUAUAUCUAGUAUCAGUGAAAUUAUCAUUCUUGCAUCUGUGAUUCUCUAAGCAAGACAGAAGAUUUAUGAAUCCUGCAAAAUCCUGAUUUGUUCAGGCUUUGACCAGUAAAUAUGAUUCUACCUGUCUUAUUGCUUGAAAAUAUUCGGACAAUUGUUGCUUUGUUUUCCAGAUACUUGAAUUCGUGUAUACCUGUGGUGCCUGUUUAUAUUCCUUUGUAUUUUUUCAUAGAUAACUUUCAGUACCUUAUAUUCAUUUGGUUGCAGAGAGGUUUGAUGGCUCUUGUAGAUGUUGAAGGAGUGCCUGUUCAUUUUACACGACUUACACUAGCACAUCUUAUAGCUAGCCCAGAAUCAAUCCAAGAGAUUAUAACUAGACAUUACAUGAGACAGCUACUUCAUGAAAUGUAUAAGGUGAGUUAUGUAUAAUCUUUUACAGUUUCAGUUUACUUUCAUUUUCCAGUCCUGCUGGAGUGAAUUAUAAGGGGUUGAAUGUCUUGUCUAGUAAACUGGUACAAAUCUUGCAGCCUGAUAGCUCCGGACUUAUUUUCUUUUGAAUCCUGAACAUUUUUGCAAUAUACUUUUGUAUCAGAGGUUUCAGUCUGUUUAUCCUUCAUAGUAAUUAUAUACUAGGAAUUAAAAUAACUGAUAUAUCCACUAUAUAUCAUUAUGUCUCUUGUUGACUGAUUGUCAGAACGGGUAAAGUUGGGUUGUUAUGCUAAAAAUAAUAUAGGGAAUAUCAGACUUAUCUUUUUUGUUUUCUUUUUUUUUGGUAUGAUCAUUAGCUUCAUAGCUUAUCUUUCAUCAAAGAAAAUAGGCAACCUGGCAAAGCUAUCUUCCAUCCACCUAGAUAGCUCAGCAUGCACUAAAAAGGUGACCCAUUUCUUAUAUUUUUGCCAAACAGUGUCUAACUUCUUCAAGAUUUAAAUCGGCAUAAUCAAUGUUAGAUCAGUAUCUGUUGAUUGUAACCAUCGUUCGGAUUGUUAUUAAUAUUAGUUGAACUAUGGAAUAAGUUAUGUUAAUCCUUAGGGUGUACAAUAACACAUUUUGGAAUAAACUUUGGAAUUUAUUGUGAACCUAACAUGCUAGUUGAGUUUUGGGAAGUUGUCUUUGCAGUUUAAGGUCUUGUAGUUGACUUAUCAAAGAGGAUAAUUAUAUCCAAAUAUGUUAUUUUUCAAUUGAUUAUUGAAGAAUGGUAUUAUCAUUUUCAAAAUUCACACCUUAACUAAAACCUUUUAAUUUUGUGGUCUUUCCUCAACUACAGGUGCUUGGUUCUGCUGGUGUUAUUGGAAAUCCAAUGGGUUUUGCAAGGAAUGUUGGGCUUGGUAUCAAGGAUUUUUUAUCUUUUUCUGGCAAGGGAGUCUUACAGGUGAGCAACAUUCACAGUGUUCAAGCUUGUUAGAUGGAUGAUUCAUCUCUGUUUCUGAAAAUAUAAUUGACAAUUGUGGCAGAGCCCCAGUGGAUUAUUAACCAGUGUAGCUGAAGGUUCAAGAGGUCUUCUAAGUAGUACAGUAUAUGCCAUAAGUAGCGCUACUAGUCAGUUCAGUAAAGCUGCUCAUAAGGUAAUUUCUGUUACAUGAAUUAAUCAUUUAUACUAUAUCAUCAGGUUGUUUCAGAUUUUGACAUUUGGUUUUUCAGGGAAUAGUUGCAUUUACAUUUGAUCAACAGGCUGCUGCUUAUCUGGAGGAACAGCAGAAUCACCUAGAUUCACAUGGCAAAGGUGUACUGAAUGAAUUCUUGGAGGUAUAAGUUCAUACAAUUACUUCUAACCAAAAGCGCACAAAAGGAUUCCAACUCAGUAUCUUAGGUUACUUGUCUAACAUUUGAGCAGUACCUAUAGACAUGAUAAUUGGUAAAGUAUCUAAUACUAAUCUGUGACCCUACAAAUCUGAAUUCAAUCCUGCUUGUUAAUGAAAUGCUAUUUUUUCUAUGGAUGAACUUCUCUUUUACAUAAAAGGUUUCUUAAAAAGUAAACCAAUUUCUUACCUAAGUGAUGCAUAGUAUGCAUACUCUGUUGCUCUUCAAAGUGAUCUUUUGCGAUAAGGAAAAAUGUGUAGGAAUAUUAUUGUAUUUAUUGCACUAGGAUGAUGAAAUAAAGAUUAGUACUCUCCCCUUGAGGAGAAAGAAAAUUGAAAUGAUGAGAAAACGAAGAAAAGCGAGACAAAAUUACCUCUUUUCUUACUGGUAGAUUUAUCCUUGAAGACUUUAUCAAAGUGAUCUUUUGCGAUAAGGAAAAAUGUGUAGGAAUAUUAUUGUAUUUAUUACACUAGGAUGAUGAAAUAAAGAUUAAAACUCUCCCCUUGGGGAGAAAGAAAAUUGAAACAAUGAGAAAAAGAAGAAACAAGAGACAAAAUUCCCUCUUUUCUUAUUGGUAGAUUUAUCCUUAAAGACUUUAUCAAUAUAAAAGAACUCUGUAUGGUGUUAAUUAAACAACAGUGUAAUGUUUAUUUCGUAUCAGCACAUUUGUUUCUAAUAAGAAGGAUGAUAAAAUGAAACUUAUUUCAACCAAUGUUUGUCUAUUUUCAUACAGGGGCUCACGGGACUUCUUCAAUUCCCAAUUAGAGGUGCUGAAAAGCAUGGCCUACCUGGGGUUGUGUCAGGUAACUUGAUCUUCAAAUAUUGAGUGUGUUUGUGUGGCUUUGUAAGCUCAUUUUUCAUUUACCAUCAUACAGGAAUUGCAUUGGGAACCGCCGGUCUUAUUGCAAGACCAGUGGCUAGCAUCCUUGAAGCCACUGGGAAAACAGCACAAAGUAUCAGAAACAGGAGUCGACCACACCAAUCCUGUCACUUCCGUACACGGUUAUCAAGGCCUUUAGCCAAAGAACUUCCUUUGUCACCAUACUCUUGGGAUGAAGCUAUUGGAGUGUCAUUGCUUCUUCAAGCAGAUAGCUCGAGACUGAAGGAUGAGAUAUUUGUGAUGUGCAAACCACUCACGCAGGCAGGGAGGUUUAUAACUAUCAGCAAGAGGCUGGUUUUGGUUGCAUCGUGCUCUUGCCUUCUGGGUUUGGGCUCACCGGAGUUUGUUGGUGUCCCUCCUGAUCCAGAUUGGGUUAUAGAAACUGAAAUGACUCUGGAGAGUGUCGUUCAUAUUGAUAGGACAGAAGAGACUGUGAAUAUUGUUGGAAGCUGUGCUGAAUCGAUAUACAAGCAGAAAAAGAGUAGUUCUAGGAAUAGACCAUGGAAUUCUUCGACUUCUGCACCUGUUUUUCACUUGAGUGUUGAACUUGCAAACAAGGAAGAAGCAGAAGAUACUUUACAGGUUCUGUUAUCGACAAUUGAAGAAGGGAAAUCCCAGAGGUGGGGGAUGCGCAUUCUACAACGGAACAAUCUCAAGUAAAAGCAUGUACGUUAUUUAAUGAUCUAGCGUCGCAAGAACCACUUCAAUAUACCUAUGUUACCAUAUGGACUGAUUACCUAUUCUCUAACUCUUGCAGGAGUCAUUGGAUCUGAGGGUUUGGGAGAUCCUGGUGGAGCCUAUCUUGGGAGUGUAUAUAUGCACAAAGAGUAAUUUGAGAGAACAUGGUAGUUUCUUUUAUACAGAUUAGACAAUCCAGCGGCCUUAUCUAUUGUACAUUGUGUAAAUCAUCACGGCAUUUUGUGCCCCCUUUUGCGGGUUUGGACUAAAAGGUAAAUAAGAUAAUUUGAAAUGGAAAGCUAAUAUGAUACCUUUGUUUUUCCAUGCCAUAUUUGCAUACUAGGAAAUUUCUAGGAAUUUGUUUUUUGUCAGAAUUAGGUAAGGUGCAGUGUCCAAAAUGAAUAAAUGCCAAUUGUUUUGACUGUGAAUAACUUUAUUCAGGGACAAAUAUAUACCAAUUAUUACACAGCUAAUGCUUCACAUUAGGAUGGUGAAUGGUACUUUGAUCUGAUGGCCACCUAUUUUAAGAUCAAACUUUCUGUUGAUACUGGUUUUUGUAAUUGUGGCAUUUAGUUUAUGUUGAUGCAAGUAGAGGACCAAAUGUUUCAGACAGUGACUUCUAAAUUUGUUUCAGAUACUUGUUGGUAUGUCAGAUGAUUGUCUGUUGACACUCCCCCAGAAAGAACCUGUGUUAUUGUUCGAAUAAAAUUUUAGGAUAAUUCAUUUGGCUAUUCAAUCCAACAUCAUGGCUCGAUGGAGCAACAAUGAUAUUUUAUUAGAUAUGCCAUCACAUCUCCUUGAAGUUAUCCCAACUAAUUUUGGAUUUUCAAAGUUCUUCUCCAUUGACUAGUGGAACUUCUCUUCUGGAAGCAUUUGACUUUAGACCCAUCUAGAUAAUUUAUUAUAUUGCACUUUAGCCUACUAGCAUGUGAUUCAAGAAAGCCAGCUCAUAGAUAAAUCUCAUUGAAAUUUCCAACAAAUCAACUAAAGUGAGAAGAGAAAAGUCUGGAGCUACUAAAUUCCCCUUUUGUCUACAUGUGGAUCAAAAGUCUCGGAUGCAAUGGCCACAAUCUUGGACUUGGUGUAUGGGUAGAUGUUGAAUGAUGAUUAUUAAUAUGUGAAAUCAUCAUUUAGUAUUCGCUUCAAUAUUUUAUUAUCUUGGAUGAGGUUGGCUUGUUCUAAUUUCUGGAUUCCAAUUAAACAUCUACCUACUUGAUGCAAAUUCUGCAAUUCAUUUGAUUGAUCGAACAUAAAGCAUUAAUGAUGAUGCAACUGGAAAGUUACGUAGAGCAACGGUAAGAUUGUUCCUUUACGAUACGCAAGAUGACUACCACUAGGUUUAUUCUCUUGGUAUUUCGUCGUCGAAUCGUAUUACUGCUAUGGUGGAUGUAACACCAGAUUUGUCGUCUUUGCUUCAGUCCAAAGUCCUGAAUGAUGUUGAGAAGCCAAUAAAAUUAUUGGAGUCAUGAAAGUGGCCGUAUGAAUGCAAACUGAUGAGAGCUUAUUCUGGUGGACUGUUGCAUUGGUCAAGUGGCUGAUGCAAAUGCUGUAUCAGCUGAGAAGACGACCAAUUCACUCAUCACCUCAGGCUGAGGCUUUUUCCAAUCCCAUGAGGUGUUGGCUGAUUUCUUCUGACUGCUAUUCUAACUUGUUAUCACAGGUUCAAUGUUCAUGUAGAAGCCCCAAAUCGCCCGGCACUUCUCCCUCACCGACCGCACCAUCUCUCUCUCUCUCUCUCUCUCUCUCUCUAUAUAUAUAUAUAUAUAUAUAUACGUAGCCUUCCCUUUCCCUGCACUCAGCCAUCUGCUUGCAGAGCUUUCCUUCCCUUCAUUAAGGUACUACGACUCACCACAACAUGGUCGCCGGCUGCUGCACCAACGAGGUGACGGUCAACGUCAGCGUCCACAGGAUGUGGAAGGCGGCCGCCUGCGAGGAUCACAUCCUGCUGCCAAAGAUCAUUCCUCAGUACUUCGCUGGCGCAGAGCUCGUCGGCGAUGGCGAAGCUGGCAGCACAAAGACCUUCCACUUCACUCCAGGUUUAGAUUUUGAUGCUGCUUUCCGACAUUCGUGUGCGUGCGAGAAGAGAUCGCAAAACAAGGAUAAAAAAUAAUCUCACAUCGAUAAAAAGAAUCGGAUGAUACAUAUCGAAACCUUUUUGGUUGAAUUGAUGUAUGAUCUGUUAAUUGGAACUAAUUUGGCUAUUGUUGCGAUCCAUCGAACUGCAGCCGCAGAGCCACUGACCUUCGUGAAGGACCAUGUUGAGGUGUUGGACCACGGAAGCCACACGAUGAGGUACAAGGCGAUCGAAGGAGGUCACCUCGGCCGCACGCUCAAGUCGCACGCGUUCGAGGUCAAGUUCGAAGCGGCGGGCGCCGACAGCUGUGUCGUGAAGACCAAGACAGAAUACGAUACGAUCGACGACGCGCCGCUGCCGGAGGACGAGGUGCAGAAGAUGACGGACGUGCCAGUACGGAUGAUGAAGUCGGUGGAAGCCUAUCUGAUAGCCAACCCCGGUGUUUGUGCCUGAGCCCCUGAGCCUCUGAGCCGGUGGGCUUUCGUGUACCGACGUUGGUGCUUCCAGUGUCGUAGUGCUUGUCAUUGGGCGUGGAUCAAUCAAUAAUGAGGUGAUGCAGCAGUGCUGGAAUCAUCACCUUUAGAGUGAGAGAGUGAGAGAGUGAGAGAGAGAUAGGACAUGACAUGUUGAUGCCAUCUCUCUCUUUGUCUGUUCUUUCCAUCUUCUGCAAUGUGGUGUUUUGUGUGGUCGUUGAAGGACAUAUAUCUACAAAUAAGAUGUGAUUUCUUUGGUAUCAUGUAAUCCUUCUUUUUUGGUAUCAUUCUUAGUAGUCUCUUUUAAAGAUUCAAAGACUAGCGUAAUCCAAAUUAAACAUGGAUUUAAUUGAUUUUACUUAAACUAUAUGAUACGUUUAUAAUGUUUGUUCGUAACGAGUCAACCUUCUCGUAAUUUUAUUUACUCUCAUCCAUAAAUAAAUCAGUUACCGAUAAAUGAAUGCAUGAACAAACAAAUCGAUGUCACCUUAGUAAAAUAUACCUUGGGAUUAUAUAACUAAAAUUGAACAAAAUACCUUCUUAGACGACUAAAAUGGAUGCAUUUUGCUGAAAGAUUUUACGAUAAAAAAUUGAAGGUUAAUUCGUCGUCCAUAAAGUUUAAGUACAUAAGUGAUAGGUUCAUCCAUCGUCCAUAAAGUUUAAGUACAUAAGUGAUAAAACUUCAUCCAAUCUUAUGUUUGUUCAAAAUUUAUAUAAUUAAAUUUGAACAAAAUAUCUUACUAAAAUGGAUGCAUUUUGCUUGCUCUGAAAAAAUUUUACGAUAAAAAAUUGAAGGCUAAUCCAUCGUCAAUAAAAUUUAAGUACAUAAGUGAUAACGUAUCUUAGAACUUUCAUCCAAUCUUGUGUCGGUUCAAAAUUAAAUGUUAACAUGACAUGAGAUUUGACGUAAUAGUGAUGUGACCUUAUCUACAAACUCGAUAGAAACAAAUUAAUUCUUCUAUUUUUUAAGAUAAAUACUGGUAAUACGGCAACAUCAAAAAUAUUAUAUCGUACAAUUUGGUUCUUCCUCUUAGUUUCAAACAUGAAGCUCCACAAAGACGGCAAUAAAAUAAAAUUAACGAAGAAAAAUGCAACACGACAUCAACUCAUCGUGAUCUCACUCACCCUAACAAAGAAUAUAAUAAUAAACUACACCGUUGAAUGAACUGUUAAUUCUUUCAUUAAAUGCAUGAAAUACAUUUAUGGUGAAACUUUGUUUCUAACAUACAUACAUACAUACAUACAUACAUACAUACAUAUUUUAAUCUGACUAGCAUAUGCUUGAAGAAUCCGAUCAUUCUCGACUACGGCUGAUGAUGAUAUGGGGCUGCUCAACAAUGAAGACCGCAAAGUCUGCAUGCUUGUGAGCUUUGAAGUCUUCGCUUCAGUCAACAAAUACUAGCUAGUUUGAAUGCUUCCAAGUUUACCAUGACACCCACUUCUUAGAACAUUGAAUUGGGAUGAGGAUGCCAACAAGAGAAGAUGAACCGAUUCAUUGGCAUGGAGCGAUCUUCGCGUCAUCUCAGACCCCCCCCUUUUUCCAAUCUAAUCGAUGAGGUUACCUAAAGUUCAAACUUCAUCUGGAAGCCCGAGAUGACCCGGCACUCCAUCGCCGUCUAUAAAUGGACUCUUCCCCUUCCCUUCACCACCAACCCAUCACAGCCUGCAGAGCUCUCAUCCGGCAAAACACCUUCAUCGACGCCAUGGUUGCCGGGUGCUGCACCGAAGAGCUGACGCUCAAUGUCAGCGUCCACAGAGUAUGGAAGGCGGCCGCCUGCGAGGAUCACAUCCUGCUGCCAAAGAUCAUGCCGCAGUACUUCUCCGGCGCCGAGCUCAUCGGGGAUGGUGAAGCUGGCAGCAC